UACGUAGGGUGCGAGCGUUGCCCGGAUUUAUUGGGCGUAAAGGGCGCGUAGGCGGCCACGCACGUCUGUUGUGAAAUCGCCCGGCUCAACUGGGCGGGGUCAGCGGAUACGGUGUGGCUCGAGCAAGCUAGGGGGCAAUGGAACUCCCGGUGUAGUGGUGGAAUGCGUAGAUAUCGGGAAGAACACCAGUGGCGAAGGCGGUUGCCUGGAGCUUUGCUGACGCUGAUGCGCGAAAGCGUGGGGAGCGAUCCGG
rnacentral:rRNA from 1 species